ensembl:lncRNA
UGGGGGGUGUACUCAUGAACACGCAAAGGUCUACUGGAUGCUGUGCUUCCACCGGACCACACUGUGGUAGAUGUCUUCCACUUGCCCCUCCAGACCACCUCCCCACCCUCCGGCCAUGCCCAGUGUCCUGCAAUGCUGACCUUUGUGAAUGGGCUCAUCCAAGGCUACUUUGCCCUGGCUUCUGGUCAGGUUCAGCCAAUGGAAGGCACUGGGAGCAGGAAGUUAUUGCUUCCUCGAACUUGCAGUGAGUUGUCUAAUUCUCCUAACAAAGGCUGCAGCUCUGACCAGGUGGCCGUAUUCUAACCACUUCAGCACUUGUGCCUUCAGGUCUAGGAGAGAUGAAGCCUGCUCACCCUGGGAUUCCUCACCACUUAUCUGUAGUUUGGCUGGGAAAGCUCUGCUUGAAGCCACAAACCUCCCUGGCGCGGAUUAAGCCUUCAAAUUGGCUUACAUCCACCUUCCUCAUUUUCCUUGGACUAGCCCUGCCAGGGCACGUUCCUUUCAUGGCAAGUGGCAGGAGCCCAGGAAGUUGAGCAGAGACCCUUGAUGCCUCCUGAGGCCUCGCAGGUUCUUUACCACUAGGGCCACCUGGGAAGCUCCCAAUCAUCUAUGCUGACCAGUAACUCCACCCCAGCCCUGCCAAUACUCAAUCAGAGAGAAGCUGUGCAGUGACCUUGGACAAGGUGUUUGUUGCCUCUCGUCGGAUCUAUCAGAGUCCUCAGGCUCCUAGAACAGGUUGUUCAUUAUGAUACUCCCAUGACCAAAAUCCUUUUUAAACCCUGUGCUACUGUCACUGCUGGGAAAGGAGAAAAUCUCCUCUGGGCUGAAGGCUUUGCUUUGUCUGAUGUGGUCUGAGACUGACUAAGGCCUUAAGUUUUCCUCAUAAGCUCUCUAGGGCAAGUUCUUU